UUUUAAUUUAUAAGUUAACCCUAAAUCUCCUCCCACCCAUCUGCCCCUUCACUCAUCCCUUCACUGCAACUCUUGCGGCGGCUGAUUCCUUCCCGAUCGGCUGCGGCACAGGUUUCAAUUUGGCAUGAUCUCAGUGUAGUUGAAGACAACUGUAUUUGUUCACGUCUUUUCGGUAAAAUGCAGAAUGAGCGAAGUUGGAUGUAUAACAAGAAUUCAAGUAUAAUGCAGAAUGAGGAAGAGGAGGAGGAGGAGGAGGAGGAGGGUGAUAAUCAUAAUGAUGAC